CCCUUGCGGCGGCCUACCAUGCAGUCGAGCGGAACGAGUUAUCUGAACCUUCGGGGAACGAUAACGGCGUCGAGCGGCGGACGGGUGAGUAAUGCCUAGGAAAUUGCCCUGAUGUGGGGGAUAACCAUUGGAAACGAUGGCUAAUACCGCAUGAUGCCUACGGGCCAAAGAGGGGGACCUUCGGGCCUCUCGCGUCAGGAUAUGCCUAGGUGGGAUUAGCUAGUUGGUGAGGUAAGGGCUCACCAAGGCGACGAUCCCUAGCUGGUCUGAGAGGAUGAUCAGCCACACUGGAACUGAGACACGGUCCAGACUCCUACGGGAGGCAGCAGUGGGGAAUAUUGCACAAUGGGCGCAAGCCUGAUGCAGCCAUGCCGCGUGUGUGAAGAAGGCCUUCGGGUUGUAAAGCACUUUCAGUCGUGAGGAAGGUAGUGUAGUUAAUAGCUGCAUUAUUUGACGUUAGCGACAGAAGAAGCACCGGCUAACUCCGUGCCAGCAGCCGCGGUAAUACGGAGGGUGCGAGCGUUAAUCGGAAUUACUGGGCGUAAAGCGCAUGCAGGUGGUUUGUUAAGUCAGAUGUGAAAGCCCGGGGCUCAACCUCGGAAUAGCAUUUGAAACUGGCAGACUAGAGUACUGUAGAGGGGGGUAGAAUUUCAGGUGUAGCGGUGAAAUGCGUAGAGAUCUGAAGGAAUACCGGUGGCGAAGGCGGCCCCCUGGACAGAUACUGACACUCAGAUGCGAAAGCGUGGGGAGCAAACAGGAUUAGAUACCCUGGUAGUCCACGCCGUAAACGAUGUCUACUUGGAGGUUGUGGCCUUGAGCCGUGGCUUUCGGAGCUAACGCGUUAAGUAGACCGCCUGGGGGAGUACGGUCGCAAGAUUAAACUCAAAUGAAUUGACGGGGGCCCGCACAGCGGUGGAGCAUGUGGUUUAAUUCGAUGCAACGCAAAGAACCUUACCUACUCUUGACAUCCAGAGAACUUUCCAGAGAUUGGAUUGGUGCCUUCGGAACUCUGA
rnacentral:rRNA from 1 species